CCCGCCCCCCGGCCCCGCGCAGGCGCGCGCGCGUAGGGCCGAGGCCGGACGGUCGCCCGCGCGGGCGCGGGAGGCAAUGCGCCUGCGCAGUCUGGGUCUGGCCCCUUUUCGCCACUAAUUGGUAGGUCGGUAGGAGCUCAACGUUUCGCCUUAAAAAGAACAUUUUGAUCGAUUUCCCACUGCCAAAUGUGAAGGGCGAGUUCUCAGAGGACUCCCUUUCCCUUUGCUCUGGCUUCGUGAAGCUUCAGGACGAGGAGACUCGGUCCUCCUAGCCCAGGGGACCUGUGUGCCCAGCAGAAGGGACGGAUGCGACUGGGCAAAGAACAAAGGAGUUAUUGACCGGGGCUGCAGACCUGAAGCUUCUCGUCCUAAAAAAGUCACUGAACAAACGUGGAGAUGCAGAAAGACGCGGCACUGUUACAUAUGUGAAGAGAGAAAUUUCUCAAGGAAGAUUAAGCUGCAGGGAUGCAGAAGGGACCUCGUCCACCCAGGUCACCGGUUGCCAUCGUGGGCCCAUCCCCGCACUGUGCAGGGCUGCUGCCGGAGAGAUUUACAAUCAACUACAUAAAACGGCUGUACUCUGGUAGAUCUUGCAGAAGUGGAAGGCAGCCUGCCUGCAAGAAGAAGGCCUGUACUGCUCCCCCGUGAAGAUGGUCUCACAGUACAGUCAGGGGGCGAGCAGGAAGGGAUGUGUUCUCUGCGACUAUACUUUUAAAUUUAUACUUAAAACAGAAUGGAGGAACUAUAAUC